AAUGAUUACCCUGAACCGGUGGAUCACUUGGCUCGUGGGUCGAUGAAGAACGCAGCUAAUUGC
rnacentral:rRNA from 1 species